rnacentral:pre_miRNA from 1 species
UUUAAGUGUAACUAUGAGUUUCUGCUCUGCGCUAAACUUUGAUCGCCCGUCUUAUUUGAAAUUUUUUAUUUAGUAUUUUUGUUGUUAUGAGAUGAUAAAACAUGAAUAGUACUUUACUCAUGACUUAUGUUCUUUUAAUUUUUUCAAAUAAAACGGACGAUGGAAGUUAGACACGGAAACCAUGGCUGCACUUAAA